rnacentral:misc_RNA from 1 species
AACCUAGCACACCUGCGGUGUGUACCUGCGGAAGGAUCAUUACCGAGUUUACAACUCCCAAACCCCUGUGAACAUACCUAUAAUUUGCCUCGGCGGACUCAACGACGGUGCUCCGAGAAAUCGGGCGCCGCUCGCUGCCAGAGGAACCCCAAACUCUAUGUAUUCUUGUGGAUCUUCUGAGUAAAACAAAACAAAUAAAUCAAAACUUUCAGCAAUGGAUCUCAGAUCGGAAGAGCACAC